AGUAACCGUAAGGAGCUAGCCGCCUAAGGUGGGACAGAUGAUUGGGGUGAAGUCGUAACAAGGUAGCCGUAUCGGAAGGUGCGGCUGGAUCAUCUCCUUUCUAAGGA
rnacentral:rRNA from 1 species